rnacentral:rRNA from 1 species
UUAUUGAAUAUAAUUUUAAGUUUGAUCUGCUCCAUGAUUUUAAAUUAAAUAGCUGCAGAAUUUUAACUGUACAAAGGUAGCAUAAUCAAUAGUUUUUUAAUUUAAAGCUUGUAUGAAAGAUUUGAUAAAGUAAAUUUUGUCUCAAAAUUAAUAAUAUUAUAAUUUUUUUUUUAGUAAAAAAACUAAAAUAAAUUUAAAAGACGAGAAGACCCUAUAGAAUUUUAUAAUUAAUUUAUUAAAAAUAAAAAAUAUUAAAAAUUUUUUUUUUAUUGAAUUAAUUAUUAGGUUGGGGAAAUUAUUAAAUUUGUAUAAUUUUAAUUUUUAUAUAACUAUAAUUAUAGAUUAUUUGAUUUUGAAGAUUUAAAUUAAUAGAAUAAAUUACCUUAGGGAUAACAGCGUAAUUUUUUUGGAUAGAUCUUAUUGAUAAAAAAGUUUGCGACCUCGAUGUUGAAUUAAGAUAAAAUGUUAAUGUAGAAGUUAAUUAAUUUUGGUCUGUUCGACCAUUAAAAUCUUA